AAGAGUAGUGGAAUGGAACUGGGAAGACCAGCCGGAGAGGGUGAAAGCCCCGUAGACGAAACUUGAGCAGAGGCGGCAGGAUCCAGAGUACCACGGGACACGAGAAACCCUGUGGGAAGAAGCGGGGACCACCCCGCAAGGCUAAAUACCCGCUGGUGACCGAUAGAGCACAGUACUGUGAAGGAAAGGUGAAAAGGACCCCGUGAGGGGAGUGAAAGAGAACCUGAACCCCCGCGUCUACAAGCUGUGGGAGUGCCGUAAGAGCACAACCGCGUACUUUUUGUAGAACGGUCCGGCGAGUUGCGCGUGCCGGCAAGGUUAAGCGGAAGACCCGCGGAGCCGAAGGGAAACCGAGUCUGAAAAGGGCAAAGAGAAUCAGAUGAUUCUCAUUAGUCAGUACGCGCAGACCCGAAACCGGGUGAUCUACCCAUGUCCAGGAUGAAGCUGCCGUAAAAGGCAGUGGAGGUCCGAACGCACAUCCGUUGAAAAGGGUGGCGAUGAGGUGUGGGUAGGGGAGAAAUUCCAAUCGAACCCGGAGAUAGCUGGUUCUCCCCGAAAUAGCUUUAGGGCUAGCCCCAUAUUUGUCCUGCCGGAGGUAGAGCACUGGAUUUCCGCGGGGGCGUCAAAGCCUACCAAAGAAUACCAAACUCCGAAUGCCGGCCAGGAAGAGAGCGGGAGUCAGGCUGCACGAGAUAAGUUGGGCAGCCAAAAGGGAAAAAGCCCAGACCCGCGGCUAAGGCCCCAAAGUGCGUGUUAAGUGGAAAAGGAUGUGGGAUUCCGAAGACAGCCAGGAUGUUGGCUCAGAAGCAGCCAUACAUUAAAAGAGUGCGUAACAGCUCACUGGCCGAGGGGUGCCGCGCCGAAAAUGUCCGGGGCUGAAACACGCCGCCGAAGCCCGGGAAAGAGGGGUCGAAAGGCCGCCUCUUUGGUAGGGGAGCAUUGCCGGUUCGAAGAAGCCGUACCGAGAGGAGCGGUGGAGGGCCGGGAAGAGAGAAUGCCGGAAUGAGUAGCGAGAUGGAGGUGGGAAUCCUCCAGGCCGGAUGUCCGAGGUUUCCAGGGUAAAGCUGAUCUGCCCUGGGUGAGUCGGGGCCUAAGGCGAGGCCGAAAGGCGUAGUCGAUGGAUAACAGGUGGAGAAUCCUGUACUGCAAGAUAUCAGAACUGCGGGGACGCAUCAGCGAAGCAUAAGCCGGGAAAGAAGAGACCGGUACAAGCACAGGAGCGGGAUGGCAGGAAAAACCGUCAUUCAACGCGUAAGGUGUGAAGUGGACCGAAAAGAAGUAGGGAAGUAUGCAGAGCAGGUGCCGGGAAAAGCCGCUAUGGCGUAUCAUGCACCCGUACCGGAAACCGACACAGGUGGACAGGGAGAGAAUCCUAAGGCCGACGGGAGAAGCAUUGUCAAGGAACUCGGCAAAAUGGCCCCGUAACUUCGGGAGAAGGGGCGCCUCCGAGAGGAGGCCGCAGAGAAUAGGCCCAAGCAACUGUUUAGCAAAAACACAGGUCUGUGCAAAACCGAAAGGUGAGGUAUACGGGCUGACGCCUGCCCGGUGCCGGAAGGUUAAGAGGAGAGGUAAGGGAAACCAAAGCUUUGAAUUUAAGCCCCGGUAAACGGCGGCCGUAACUAUAACGGUCCUAAGGUAGCGAAAUUCCUUGUCGGGUAAGUUCCGACCCGCACGAAAGGCGUAAUGAUUUGGGCGCUGUCUCGACAAUGCACCCGGUGAAAUUGAAGUGCCAGUGAAGAUGCUGGCUACCUGCGCCAGGACGGAAAGACCCCAUGGAGCUUUACUCCAGCUUGACGCUGGGAGUUGGUGCUGCACGUACAGGAUAGGCGGGAGGCAGAGAGAUAGUGACGCCAGUCACUAAGGAGCCGCCGUUGGGAUACCGCCCCUGCAGCACUGAUUUCCUAACCAUCGCCCGUAAGCCGGGCGGGGGACAAUGUCUGGCGGGGAGUUUGACUGGGGCGGUCGCCUCCGAAAGGGUAUCGGAGGCGCCCAAAGGUUCCCUCAGAAUGGACGGAAACCAUUCAGAGAGUGCAAAGGCAGAAGGGAGCCUGACUGCGACACCGACGGGUGGAGCAGGAGCGAAAGCUGGGCUUAGUGAUCCGGUGGCAUAAAGUGGGAUUGCCAUCGCUCAACGGAUAAAAGCUACCCUGGGGAUAACAGGCUUAUCACCCCCAAGAGUUCACAUCGACGGGGUGGUUUGGCACCUCGAUGUCGGCUCAUCGCAUCCUGGGGCCGCAGCAGGUCCCAAGGGUUGGGCUGUUCGCCCAUUAAAGCGGUACGCGAGCUGGGUUCAGAACGUCGUGAGACAGUUCGGUCCCUAUCCGGCGCAGGCGCAGGAUACUUGAGAGGAGCCGUCCUUAGUACGAGAGGACCGGGAUGGACGGGCCGCUGGUGGACCUGUUGGGAAUCAAUCCCAUGGCAGGGUAGCCAAGCCCGGAAGGGAUAAACGCUGAAGGCAUCUAAGCGUGAAGCCCCCCUUAAGAUGAGGUAU
rnacentral:rRNA from 1 species